rnacentral:rRNA from 1 species
UACGUAGGGUGCAAGCGUUGUCCGGAAUUAUUGGGCGUAAAGAGCUCGUAGGCGGUUUGUCGCGUCUGCUGUGAAAACCCGAGGCUCAACCUCGGGCCUGCAGUGGGUACGGGCAGACUAGAGUGCGGUAGGGGAGAUUGGAAUUCCUGGUGUAGCGGUGGAAUGCGCAGAUAUCAGGAGGAACACCGAUGGCGAAGGCAGAUCUCUGGGCCGUAACUGACGCUGAGGAGCGAAAGCAUGGGGAGCGAACAGGAUUAGA